GAGUUACUCACAGGUUGCACAGUGGCUGUGAGUUACUCACAAGUUACACAGUGGCUGCUGUGAGUUGCAAGCUGCACAGUGGCUGUUACAAGUUACACAGUGGCAGCUGUGAGUUACAGGUUGUGAGUUACUCACAGGUUGCACAGUGGCUGCUGUGAGUUACUCACAAGUUACACAAUGGCUGCUGUGAGUUACAGGUUACACAGCGGCUGUUACAGGUUACACAGCGGCUGUGAGUCACUCACAGGUUACACAGCGGCUGCUGAGUUACAGGUUACACAGUGGCUGUUACAGGUUACGCAGUGGCUGCUGUGAGUUACUCACAGGUUACACAGUGGCUGUUACAGGUUAUGCAGUGGCUGCUGUGAGUUACUCACAGGUUACACAGUGGCUGUUACAGGUUACGCAGUGGCUGCUGUGAGUUACUCACAGGUUACACAGUGGCUGUUACAGGUUACACAGCUGCUGUGAGUUACUCACAGGUUACACCCCAGCUCCGCGGUGCAGCAGCAGCAGCCGCCCCGUGGUUUGACAUUCUUUGGCCGUUUCCCGGGGCUCAGAGCUUGGGACACUGCGGGGCUGCUCG